rnacentral:rRNA from 1 species
UACGGGGGGGGCAAGCGUUGUUCGGAAUUACUGGGCAUAAAGCGCACGUAGGCGGCCCACUAAGUCAGUUGUGAAAGCCCCCGGCUCAACCGGGGAAUGGCAUCUGAUACUGGUGGGCUCGAGGAAGGUAGGGGUGGGCGGAACUCCAGGUGGAGCGGUGAAAUGCGUAGAUAUCCGUAGGAACUCCGGUGGCGAAGGCGGCGUGCUGGACCAACACUGACGCUGAGUGAGCGAAAGCCAGGGGAGCAAACGGG